rnacentral:rRNA from 1 species
CGGGGUGAGCAGGCGCGAAACCUUUACAAUGCUGGCAACAGCGAUAAGGGGACCUCGAGUGCCACGAUACAAUCGUGGCUGUCUAGUUGCCUAAAAAGCAAUUGAUAGCAAGGGCCGGGCAAGACCGGUGCCAGCCGCCGCGGUAACACCGGCGGCUCGAGUGGUAACCGCUAUUAUUUGGUCUAAAGGGUCUGUAGCCGGCUUAGUCAGUCUUUUGAGAAAUCUGGCCGCUCAACGGUCAGGCGUUCAGGGGAUACUGCUAAAGCUCGAGACCGGGAGAGGUGAGAGGUACUUCAGGGGUAGGGGUGAAAUCUUGUAAUCCUUGAAGGACCACCAGUGGCGAAGGCGUCUCACCAGAACGGAUCUGACGGCAAGGGACGAAAGCUAGGGGCACGAACCGGAUUAGAUACCCGGGUAGUCCUAGCCGUAAACGAUACUCGCUAGGUGUCGGCCACGGUGCGACCGUGGUCGGUGCCGUAGGGAAGCCGUGAAGCGAGCCACCUGGGAAGUACGGCCGCAAGGCUGAAACUUAAAGGAAUUGGCGGGGGAGCAC